rnacentral:rRNA from 1 species
GUGGGGAAUCUUCCGCAAUGGACGAAAGUCUGACGGAGCAACGCCGCGUGAGUGAAGAAGGUUUUCGGAUCGUAAAGCUCUUUCGUUAGGGACGAACGUGCUCUUUGUGAAUAAUGAGGAGUAAUGACGGUACCUAAAUAAGAAGCCACGGCUAACUACGUGCCAGCAGCCGCGGUAAUACGUAGGUGGCAAGCGUUGUCCGGAAUUAUUUGGCGUAAAGCGCGCGCAGGCGGGAUAUCAAGUCUGUCUUAAAAGUGCGAGGCUCAACCUCGUGAGGGGACAGAAACUGGUAUUCUUGAGUGUCGGAGAGGAAAGUGGAAUUCCAAGUGUAGCGGUGAAAUGCGUAGAGAUUUGGAAGAACACCAGUGGCGAAGGCGACUUUCUGGACGAUGUCUGACGCUGAGGCGCGAAAGCUAGGGGAGCGAACGGGAUUAGAUACCCUAGUAGUCC